UGUUUCGCGAGAUCACAACGAACUCGGUCGGUUUUCACAGGCUCACCGACUAGAACCAACCGAUUGUUUUUCCGGGUUCACAAUCAAACCCAGUUGGUUUUUCCAAAGGCUCACCAACCACAACCUUACAACGAUUGUUUUCCGGAUUCACAAUCAACCCAGUUGGUUUUCCCAAAGGCUCACCAACCACAACCUUACAAUGUUGGUUUUCCCUUUGGCUCACCAACAAACCUUAACCCCUUGAUUCAAUCCCUUG
rnacentral:lncRNA from 1 species